GCACCGGUAGAUCAGUGGUAGAUCAUGAGAUUGCAGUAACCUCUGGUUGUGUAUAUCUUAGGGUCCUGUGUUCGAACCACAGUCGGUGCU